GCUUUCUGCCCAAGCGCUCAUAUAUCGCUCGGUCACUAUUUCCCUUCUAUAUAGCUUCGACAAUAUUUCGAAUUCUCAUUUAUAAAUUCCAUCCAUAAAUGUUAUCUCUAAAAAUCUUUUUUCAAUUCAGAACUCAAUAAAAACUUUAAUAGGAUUGCUUCCAAAUGUAUUCAUUUAUCCAGAUUAAGAAGCAGAAGAAUACUCUUAAAUGUGUACGUUAUUAACUGUUCGGAGUUUGCGCCGUACUAAAUUUUGUGAAGAUAGCUUGUCAGUUAAAAAAGGUUUCCAUACCAGAACUUGAUUUUCAUCGGAGCUGUAGGACUAAACUUUCGGUCUGAAAAAAUUGAUAUUGAUACAUAUAACGCGAAAAUUCUGCUAACAGAAUCGCCUAAGAAUAAAAGGAAAAUUUUGAAUUGAAUUUACUAAAAUCGAAUGAACAUUGCCGAUCUUGAUAUCACACGAUUAGUGGGAUUCUGUAAGCAAUCUCUUGUUUCUAUUUGAGACAUUUUGACCAGUUACUAUUCACAAUAUAGUCUCUAUCCUCAAAAUAUUGUCUCAAAUUUUGUCAGCUGGUAAUAAGCAGGUCGCAAACGUAUUAAGAAAAGAAAAAACAAGCAAUGGACGAGGAAGUCACUGCUUUUUAGUUAAUUUUACAAACUUAUGAAAAUGAAGAAAGGUACGUAUCAUUUAAUAUCAAUGAAUAUAAAAAUAUUAUUAAUUUCUUUCAAUUAGAAAUGUAAACAGGAGAAAUUUGGCACACUUAAGGAAUAGUGAGGAUCCACUUUUAUUGGAGGAUGCAACAUUUAGAAAAUAUUUUCGUUUUCCGAAAUCGUUGUGUUGGGACUUUAUGUAGGAAUUGAAACCUCUCGAUAAUCGUUUCCGAAAGUCCUUUUGAGAUUCGGAUGAGUGUUCAUGCUUUUAAAUUUAGAUUUUUUACUAAACAUUGGCUCAUACCAAUACUGCAUUGGAAAUAGCCAUUUAUCUGCCAUGAGUCAACCUAGCAUAUCUCGAAAUGUAAGGCAUAUAUGCAAACUUGUGUUGGAACAAAAAAUGCGGAAAUAAGCUUUCCAAAUGCAACAGAGCACUACAACAGAAUUAAAAUGGGUUUCCAUAAUAAGUUUGGAAUAAAAGGAGUGAUUGAUGCUAUUGACUGCACCCAUGUUGCAAUAAUUGGACCGUCUUCGUCGUCUAACGUUAUUCCACAUGAAUACAUGAACCGAAACGUAGAAGCGCUUCCGACUGCUUUAAAAUAGCUCUUGCCAUAUUGUUUAAAGACUCCGCAACAUUUUUGAAGCAUUAAUGUGAUGUCUCCCUAAAUUUUGCCUCUUCGUCGCUUCUCCUCUUCAUCGUAGCCAUCAUGCCAGCAAACAUUUCUUGUGAAGUCUGCAUUCGAGUACGUGAAAUUGAUGGCAUCUCGCUUACUGAAGGACUUUGUGGAUCUAUAUUUAUUAUAAUGUCGUUCUAAACUUGGGACAUCAGGCAAUCUAUCAACCACGGUCUCCCUAAGGUUUUCAUCGACCGCUCUUCCAACUCGGAGGAAUGAAUUUCUUGUAUUGGUG
rnacentral:lncRNA from 1 species